rnacentral:snRNA from 1 species
AAGUUUAUCCGGAAUAUC